CCCUUCGGGGGUACUCGAGCGGCGAACGGGUGAGUAACACGUGAGCAACCUGCCCUUGACUUCGGGAUAAGCCUGGGAAACUGGGUCUAAUACCGGAUACGACCACCGUGGGCAUCUGUGGUGGUGGAAAGUUUUUCGGUUGGGGAUGGGCUCGCGGCCUAUCAGCUUGUUGGUGGGGUGAUGGCCUACCAAGGCUUCGACGGGUAACCGGCCUGAGAGGGCGACCGGUCACACUGGGACUGAAACACGGCCCAGACUCCUACGGGAGGCAGCAGUGGGGAAUAUUGCGCAAUGGGCGGAAGCCUGACGCAACGACCCCCCGUGGGGGAUGACGGCCUUCGGGUUGUAAACCUCUUUCAGCAGGGACAAAGCUAACGUGACGGUACCUGUAGAAGAAGCGCCGGCUAACUACGUGCCAGCAGCCGCGGUAAUACGUAGGGCGCAAGCGUUGUCCGGAAUUAUUGGGCGUAAAGAGCUCGUAGGCGGUUUGUCGCGUCUGUCGUGAAAGCCCACGGCUUAACCGUGGGUCUGCGGUGGAUACGGGCAGACUAGAGGCAGGUAGGGGAGAAUGGAAUUCCCGGUGUAGCGGUGAAAUGCGCAGAUAUCGGGAGGAACACCGGUGGCGAAGGCGGUUCUCUGGGCCUGUACUGACGCUGAGGAGCGAAAGCGUGGGGAGCGAACAGGAUUAGAUACCCUGGUAGUCCACGCCGUAAACGUUGGGCGCUAGGUGUGGGGUUCUUCCACGGAUUCCGCGCCGUAGCUAACGCAUUAAGCGCCCCGCCUGGGGAGUACGGCCGCAAGGCUAAAACUCAAAGGAAUUGACGGGGGCCCGCACAAGCGGCGGAGCAUGUUGCUUAAUUCGACGCAACGCGAAGAACCUUACCAAGGUUUGACAUCACUCGAAAACUCGCAGAGAUGCGGGGUCCUUUUGGGCGGGUGACAGGUGGUGCAUGGCGUCGUCAGCUCGUGUCGUGAGAUGUUGGGUUAAGUCCCGCAACGAGCGCAACCCUCGUUCCAUGUUGCCAGCAACGCCUUCGGGUGGUUGGGGACUCAUGGGAGACCGCCGGGGUCAACUCGGAGGAAGGUGGGGAUGACGUCAAGUCAUCAUGCCCCUUAUGUCUUGGGCUGCAAACAUGCUACAAUGGCCGGUACAGAGGGCUGCGAUACCGUGAGGUGGAGCGAAUCCCUUAAAGCC
rnacentral:rRNA from 1 species